CGUGGAAGACAUAGACGCGGGUGCCAUCGGGCAGCGGCUCUCUAACGGGCUGGCGCGACUCUCCAGCCCUGUGCUGCACCGACUGCGGCUGCGAGAGGAUGAGAACGCAGAGCCCGUGGGCACCACCUACCAGAAGACGGAUGCAGCUGUGGAAAUGAAGCGGAUUAACCGAGAGCAGUUCUGGGAGCAGGCCAAGAAGGAAGAAGAGCUGCGGAAGGAGGAGGAGCGGAAGAAGGCCCUGGAUGAGAGGCUCAGGUUCGAGCAGGAGCGGAUGGAGCAGGAGCGGCAGGAGCAAGAGGAGCGCGAGCGGCGCUACCGGGAGCGGGAGCAGCAGAUCGAGGAGCACAGGUGAGCCUGCCCGCCCGGAGCGCUCCAGGGGCCCCCGGGCGCACCCUGACGGGUGCUGGCUGCUUAUCGUUCCAGGAGGA
rnacentral:sRNA from 1 species